rnacentral:tRNA from 2 species
GCGGGAAUGGUGAAAUUGGUAUACACGCUGGUUUUAGGUACCAGUGCCGAAAGGCGUGAGAGUUCGAGUCUCUCUUCCCGCA